rnacentral:lncRNA from 1 species
GUGGUGCUCUCUUAAGUAACCUCUUGGCCUUUUCUUGUGAGAGUUGGGAAUAGCCUAUCUCUGAUUCAUUCUGUCAGAUCUUUCUCGGAUUCGUCACUUUGUCUGCCCCUCAGUUAGACUUUCAAACUUGACUGCUUCCUUCUACAAACUAACCUUACCUACAUUGCUUGGGAUUAAAGAUGUAUAUUAAGGACAUUUCUAUAUUCUAGCCAGAAGGAUUAAAGGUGUGUGUUAAGGACGAACCACACUACAACUAGAAACAGGUGUUUUUCAGUAAAUAACACAAUCUCGGGGUUCACAGUGUGAUCAAAUAUCCUGCAACAGCACUCCUCAGCACCUAACAGUGUCUCCACCCCACAACUGGCUCCCUUUUGGGAUGCAGUGUUGUAAAGGCAGAGCCCUGUCUAUCUCCAUCUCCCACCCUAAAGGAGCAAGUGCCAUAGGACAAGCUCUACCACACGUGAUAAAUUCCUUGGGCACAUCUUUGCCGUUAGAGUUUUCCCGUUCCUUCUAUCUCUGCUCACUUACUGUCCUUUCUGUUGUCUCAGUCUUUUGCGUUGUUUUGAGAUGGCCAGGAACCAUGCGUGGGUCCUCUGGAAGAGCAGUGUCCUAGCAGAAGUGUUCACUGCUCCUGACACCAGCUUCUGUGCAGCCCUGGGCCUGAAAGCUCUUCAAGCUUCAUACUCUGCUUUUUGUCCUCAUUCCCUGUCAGGCACCUUGCCUCAGGAAUGUCACUUGUAUGACAGUACAUUUAUUUCUGCUUCUAUUUGCUUUUUUUGUUGUAUUUCCUAUCUUUAUCCAUUAUGGUCACAGGCAACUUUGUCUUUAAUUUUGCUUUCUGCACACACUGUGCACAUCUCACUUUGCCAUUUCAUGCACGAGUCUGUCCUGUUGUGGUAAAAUAACACAUGCUGUCAGUUUCUGUGGUCCUGCAGGCUCCUUUCCAACUUACAGAUCUGUUUGUUGACCCUGAUCCCGGGGUCUAAAGUUUCAUAGCAGAGUCAGUUUAAAAAAUCUUAAGAAUUUCCUUGUUCGCUGGGCGGUGGUGGUGCACGCCUUUAAUCCCAGCACUCGGGAGGCAGAGGCAGGUGGAUUUCUGAGUUCGAGGCCAGCCUGGUCUACAGAGUGAGUUCCAGGACAGCCAGGGCUAUACAGCGAAACCCUGUCUCCUGUCUCGAGAAACAAACAAACAAACAAACAAAACAAAACAAAACAAAAGAAAAAGAAAAAAGAAUUUCCUUGUUCUGUGGUGUUUUCCUUACAGUUUUCGUUCUGUCCUCCACUGUGCCUGCGAACCCUCCCUUCCCCUCCCACUCUCCUUCCCUGCUUGCCUUCCUUCCUUCCCUCUUGUGUUUGGUGAGUAGUAGCUGACUGAUGUGGGGUUUGUCUCUAGCUGUUAUGUUCAUCAGCCACAUAGCCAUGUCAUUCCAACUGUUAUCUGAGUCACACUGAAUCCGAACACUGCCUGUUAUAGAAGGUAGGUAGCUCAUUUGUGGAUUCCAUUAGUAUUUAUUGAGUAAUUGUUCCAUGCCAGGUGCACAGCAGAGAAGAAUUCCUUCCUGGGAGCACUGUGGUGGGAGAUGGAGGGGGAGGAGGAGGUAACAAACAAAACAAUGGAGGGCCAAAGGGAAGAAGAAAGGACAGGGUGGGGACAGAGCUGAUGCUCAGCUGCCAUUUUAGACAGCAUUCAGAAAAGACCUCAUUGAUGAUGCCAGAAAAAAACUGAAAGAGAAGCCUGCAGAGCUUGAGGAGAGUCCUGGUGACUGUAUGCUUUGGUGGAGUGUGAGAGAGGCACAGAAGAACCAGGUGUAUGGGUGCUUGGAUAUACUUUUACAUUUUAUAUUAUUAUGUGUGGCAUGUGUGCAGAGGUCAGAGGGCAAGGCAGCUUUAUGGAGAUGGUUCUUUCUGUAUACCUUGAUGUAGGGUCUCAGGAUUGAACUUGGACUAUCAGGGUUACACAACAGUUACCUUUACCCACUGAGCCAUCUUGCUGGCUCCCUUGUAUAUAUUUUAACUUUUACUUCAAUGGUGAUGGGAAGUCACAGGAAGGUAGAGGAGGGACAGGCUUUGACCUUUUCACAUAUCACUUGAGCUAUUACAUUGAACAUACAGUACAAAGGGUGUGGGUACAAACAGGGACUCCAGGAGGAUGCCAUGGUAAGAGUCUAGGCAGGAGAGGAUGACAAAGUAGAUAGAAGCUGUGAACACGAUUCAGAACAGCAGACAGGUUCUGGUUACCCUCUGAAGGUAGGGGAACAGUAUGGGUGUCCGAAGCUGUGGAAGACUGGGAUUGCCACUUGCAAAAGAGGAUUUGAUAACAACCCAGGGGGCAUGGUUUGCCGCUGGUGUCUCAGCUGCAUGGGAAGCUUCUGAAAUGUGGCUUCGGGACUGUGCUCACAGACACAUGAACUUUAGAUCAGACAGAGUACUUGAGCGGUAGUCAGAGCUGAAGAUGCAGACUUUAAUAGCAUUGGUAUACCCGAGAGAUGCAAAGGAGAGAGACUGAAUGUAUUCCCUCUGAGUGGAGAAGAGGAGACAGAGGGCUCUGUUUUGACACUUGGGUAUCAGGAUUGGGGCACAUAUAAAGGAGGCAGUGAGUGCAGAGGAGUGCAGAGAGGUGGAGUGCUGAGGAGCACAGUACCCUGAAAGAAGAGACAUUGCUCUGUGUGUGUGUGUGUGGGGAGACAAUGGCUAACUAGUUCAACUCAGGUGUUCUGGGCCAAACUUUUCCCUGAGCUGACUGAUUCAAACUGACAGAAGCUUCUCUCUGCUUCUGACUGAAUGGCUCUGCUUAGCUUCCAGCUAACUCUGGCAAUCUGUUCUAAUCUUUUGGCUCCUCAUCAUUCUCUGGCUAGUUCUGUCUUCACCUGUGUCUAGCUUGUUCUCUCUGUAACCUGUAUCUGUAAUACUGUCCUGGUAAGACUGCCAUGCACACACACACACACACACACACACACACACACCACCCCUAUGUCUAGCUGCUCUCUGUAAAACUGUCCUCACCUCUUUCUCUCUUCUGCCCCUGGGCUGCUCCUAAGUAGCCUCUCUUUCCUGUCUGUUCUUAUGAGAGUUGGGUGUAUCAUAUCUCUGCUUCAUCACUUGUUUAAAGGGAAUGAAAGGAAAAUAGAAUCAUGAUCAAGAGAAUAGUUUUCAGGAAAAGUGUUGCUGGCACACUGAAGGUACAGUGUGCUGAAGAAGCUAAGGAAGAGAGGCAAGGCUGACACUGGGCAGUCAGCACAGAACAUUCUGUAUCCAGACACAGAUGAGACAAGCUGUAUCCAUCAGCAGAGAGGCAAGAGUACUUAGAUAGGGUACUAAUGCAGAAAUUGAUGCAGAGGUAGACACUUGCACAGACCUCUUUUGAUGGCUUUUGUUUCCUUGCUGAACAGGAAACAGUCAUCCAUCCAUCCACUGAGGUCAGUAUGUGGAAGGUCAGGAAAUCAUUACCUAAGAGAGUGGGAGAGCCUAGCCUAGGUACGUCCCAGGGCUGCCCAGGUCCAGGCCACCCAUAGCUCUCAGUAACCCUCCUUCAUUUUCUCAACAGUUUUUUACAUUUUGGAAGCACAAGGCAUUGCCAGUUCAUCUAUGAUCUGUGCUGCAGUCCUGUAUCAACACUGCUUCCCCUUUAGUGGGAAGUGAAUGGGGAAACUGAGGUCUACACAUGGGGGAAGUGGGUGCAUGCCUUUAAUCCCAGCACUUAGAAGGCAGACGCAGGCCAAUCCCCAUGAGUUCAAGGCCAGCCUGGUCUAUAGAACAAGUUCCAAGACAGCCAGGAGUACACAGAGAAACCUUGUAUCAAAAAACCAAAAAUAAACAAGUAGAGCUAAGGUCUGUUACUGAUUGUCAGAGUCAGAGCCAUACAAAAGCUGUGCUUGGAGAAGUAUCUUUCCUCCCUGAGGAACUAACUCUCCCCUGAGUCUGGUCCUCCCCUGCCCCUCAAGUCCUCACCUGUUCAGUUUCCUGUUCAGUCUUCCUCACUCUUGGCUCAGAACAGUAGAAAC